AUCGCGCCACUGCACUCUAACCUGAACGAGUGAGCGAGACCCUAUCUCAUAAAAAAAGAAGAAAACACACAAGAUGUGCCUAGCUAACACCGCCAAUUGGUCACUGCUAGCCGCGAUUCCAUAUCGGGAGCUUAACAAGACUUGAACCCGAGCCAUAGCCAUGAACGUUCCCAGGCACAGAUGACAGUAUCUAGGUUGUUGCUCAAAACACAGAAAGAAACUGGACCCACCCUGAGCCAGAUUCCUUAAACCCUCAUAUAAAUUCCAUUUGCCAACCCCCUCCCCACGGACAUACCUAGAGAGAACAUUGAUUUCUCUCACUGCCUAUUGCAAGAACUGCUGCAGCCCACUCUGUACAAAAGCCCCACGAAUAAAUGCUCUGGGCGAAUCAC